GUCUAUGGCCAUACCACCCUCAACGCACCAAUCUCGUCUGAUCUCGGAAGCUAAGCAGGGUCAGGCAUGGUUAGUGCCUGGAUGGGAGACAGUGCAUGCAGUGAUAGUCA
rnacentral:rRNA from 1 species